rnacentral:rRNA from 1 species
UACGUAGGGUGCAAGCGUUGUCCGGAAUUAUUGGGCGUAAAGAGCUUGUAGGCGGUUUGUCGCGUCUGCUGUGAAAUUUCGGGGCUCAACCCCGAACUUGCAGUGGGUACGGGCAGACUAGAGUGUGGUAGGGGAGACUGGAAUUCCCGGUGUAGCGGUGAAAUGCGCAGAUAUCAGGAGGAACACCGGUGGCGAAGGCGGGAUCCUGGGCCAGUACUGACGCUGAGGAGCGAAAGCGUGGGGAGCAAACAGG